rnacentral:lncRNA from 1 species
GGAUCUAAUGAUGUUUUCUUUAAGAGCGGGCGCACCACUGCCUCCUUCAGUUCCCCUGGGAAUGUCCCCGUGCCAAGGGACAAAUUGAUGAUAUCCCCCAGGAGGGCCCGCACCUCGUCUGGACACGCUCUAAUCAGCCAAGACGGGCACAGGUCGAGAGGACAGGUGGUGGGCUUUCCAGCUCGGAGGAGUCUGUCCACAUAGGCUGGGGAUAUCCGGAUAAUCCAAUAAUACUGAUAUUGUGGACAAAACUAUGUAAUACCAAGUAAGACCAACAACAAUUCUUUAUUGUAAAGACCCACAAGACAAAAUUCAGUGCAUAUAAAAUACACUGAAAACACACAGACUACUAGGACAAAUCAUAAACUAUGCUUGUUUCUGACUUUCGUUUAAUACAAAUUGAUCUCUGAUCCUGACCACUUCAGACAGAAACUUGGCAACAGCCAAAGUCACACUGGGAAUCUUAUCGUCUAGUAGGAACUCAUCAGAGAAUUGGGCAGAUUUACAUGGUAGAUUUGCCAUUAGUCAAGUCAUACAGUGGUACCUCUGGUUAAGAACUUAAUCCGUUCUGGAGGUCCAUUCUUAACCUGAAACUGUUCUUAACCUGAGGUACCACUUUAGCUAAUGGGGCCACCCACUGCCACUGCGCCGCUGCCGCACAAUUUCUGUUCUCAUCCUGAAGCAAAGUUCUUUACCCGAGGUACUAUUUCUGGGUUAGCAAAGUCUGUAACCUGAAGCGUCUGUAACCUGAAGCAUCUGUAGCCUGAGGUACCACUGUUUAAUACUUUAUACUUUCUCACUACAUUUUCCCCAGUAAAGAAUAUGGAUGCAUGAAAUCUUGAAUUUUGUUACUCUAGUAAAGAAGGGCACCCUAAAUCAUAUGGUCGUGUGCAGUGCUCGUCUCAUGCAGAGUAGACCCAUUGAAGUCAAUGGACAAGACUAGCUUAGGUUCAUUAAUGCCAUUGAACCUUCUCUUGAGUAGCUACAGCCCAUUGUCUUAUUUUUCCCUUACCCUAUUCAGUUUCAUCCCAUAAGCAGUCCCAAAUGUUAGCCAACCACAAGUCAAUAAAAAGUAGACUUGAUUUCCCCCUAUUGUGCCAUAUUGUCAUUUUAGUUGCAGACAUCAAACGAACUAUUAUUUCAAAAUCCUUGUCCAUUACUAUGCUUUUAAGUUAUCUGAACAAUACUACAUGAGGAUCUUUAGGAACACCUUGACCCUAUAUUGUAUUGUUGCUGUUGUUGUUAUUGCUCUUCAUAGAAUCAUAGAAUUGUAGAGUUGGGAGUCAUCUAGUUUAACCCCCUGCGAUGCAGGAAUCUCAUCUAAAGCAUCCAUGACAGAUGACUAUCCAACCUCUGCUAAAAAAAACUUCCAAUGAAGGAUAGUCCACCACCUUCUGAGGGAGUCCAUUCCACCUUCUUCUUUUUUAAAAAAUAAUUUUUAUUAACCUACCAAUCAAAUCCAAUCAAAUCACAUAAAUUCCAAAUUACAAAACCGAAUUUUAAAUUUUUGUUGAGGGGACCCAUAUUUCAAGUUCCGAAGGGGGAUUCCGAUCAUCUUCUUGCUACUGCGUUCAUAUCCAAAUCAGUCCAAAUAAAGUUCAUAAUUCUAUCCAGUCUUCUCUUGCUGUUUCCACAUCUCAUCUUGUUUGUAUAUUUUUUAUUUAUUAUUUAUGAUCUCUUCUGAUAAUCUCCUUAAUCAGAUAAACACCAAUUAUAUCCUGUGGGAAUUUUUCCGUUCGUCCAAUCCUCAUAUCGAGAUGGUUUCCAUAUAUCAUCACUUUCAUAAAUAACCUCGCUCUUUCCAUCUUUAAUCUCAGGAUCUGUCGUUCUUAAGGCCCACUGAAGAGUCUCACCCACAAUAUAAAAACAGCUCUUUUGCUCCUCCCAGACUCAAAUCCUCUGACAGAGCUUGCCAACAUGGCAACGGUAUUUUUAACUGCGUCAUUCCAAAGCUCUUAAACUUCCACGCUCUUCUUAAAACAUGCUUUGGUUAGAAAAUUUAUCUCCACACAGUCGUAAAUCCACAGCUUAAGUCAUUAAAAUGGCAUUUCUGACUUGUGUGUGGGGGGGAUUCUUGUUUAAUCACAUAGAGGAAAGAAAGGACAGUUUUUUUUCCCUCCCCCAUCCAGUCCCUUUGCCACACCGAGUCUUGGCAUAUCUUUUCAUGAUUGAUUCUUGUUCCUCCGACUCGUCUUGUUUAUCAGAGAACUCUUCAGUUAGCAGUCUUUACUCCCCCUCCUUCCUUGAAAUAUGUGCAUUCGCUUCUUCCUAAUUGUUCCUUUUGAAGUUCUUGCAGCUAGCGGCGCGGAUCAGAGACAGCGUCCAGGAGUACCGAGAUCCACAGGAGGGCAUUCUGCCUUGUGCCCCCAUCCCCACAAAUUUGGGGGUGGUAUAGGGCACAGCAGGCAAGGGCAGCCCCCCCCCCCACAGCCAUGGGGGGGUAGGGAGGCUAUUUACUCCCAUCACAGCCUCCUAAUUACCUCCUGUGGGUCGGAGAGAUGUUAUUGUCAGCCAUCUUCCGAUGCGCCCCUAGUGGCCCCCGGAGUCCAUUCCACCUUCAAACAGCUUUUACUGUCAUAAAGUUCUUUCUUGUUAUUGUUGUAUAAUAUCUUGAUUAUUGGGCACGCCUAUAAAUCAUGAAAUAAAUUAGCCUUGCCUUACCAACACUGAUCACUAAUCCAAGGAUAAAACUUGUUCAAUCUAGCUGGAGUUAAAUACCACCUAGUUAGUAACACACACACACACACACACACACACACACACACAAGUUUUAUGCAUUGACAUGCCUAGCUCCGAUCUUGCAAGAUAAUAAUUUCCAGAUGGUUCUAAAUUAACAAUUAGCUUAUAGUUCCCUUAUAAUACUCCACUCCAUUGACCGGCAGUCAAGAUUAAACAUGUCUAGUUUCUUAAAGAGCCAUGAAACUUUGAUGAUCUAUAUGUAAUGUUUCUAAUGGAGAUAUAGAUAGAAGAAAUGGCAGCGGUACUUGAGCCAAAUCCCCUUUCGCUGCUAAAAGGUUUUUAUGAAUCCCUCCUUCAUUAUGGUCCUGAGCCCUAUCAUUUCCAUAGCAUCUUGUGUCACUGAAUAAAUCCUUGAUUUCACAUUUGCCAUCAUAAUAUAUUGCAGUGAAUGAGGAUAGACCUGCACUUAACAUGCUGUUAAAUCUUCUCCACAUCAGGUAUAUAUUCCUAGUUAUUUGAUUUGAUAACAGAUCUUUCUCCUACUGCAAUGCCAAAGUGGGGGAGGGGGGUAAGGAAAUCAGAAGCAGAAAAACAUCUAUGCGGAUUUCUCAGCAUCUGGGUCUCCUGUACUCUUUAAGUUUGACUCCCAAGUGCACAUCUGACAAACCAGUGGGCUUGGCUUGGAUACGAGUGAGUGUUUUAAGAUGGGAAACUUAAAGUUCCAACUAGCACAGCUGGUUGCUGGCUUUCGGGACUACCAAUCUUGUAGGUAGGAAAAUAAAUGUGAGGAGCUACAAGUAUCUCUUGUUACUUUGGCCAUAAUGUUGCUUUUCAUUGUAGGAAAAGUUUGAUAAUGUAGACCAGGGGUCCUCAGACUUUUUAAACAGGGGGCCAGUCCACUGUCCCUCAGACACUAUAGUUUUAAAAAAUAUGAACCAAUUCCUAUGCACACUGCACAUAUUUUACUGCAC